rnacentral:misc_RNA from 1 species
CAGCACUAAAGUUUUCACAUAAACAAUCCUUGAAACAUCAAAGGACUUCUCCAAUUACUAAAGAAGUGCUGAUUAGUGCCACACAUUUAAAACAUCUUAAAUGGCAAAGUCAUUUGAAAUAUCCUUCUCAACAAGGAACAAACAAAGCCAGAAUUUUGGUAAAUAUCAAAAUCUCAUGGCCAUGAUUAGUUGUGGUAAACAAUUUUACGUUUUCUAUUUCUAGUUUUCUACUAUAUUACCGUUCAGGACUUGUCCAGUCUAUUCAAAAUCAUCAUGCCAUCAGGCAAGUAUGAACAUGACAACAGUUGGCAUUAAGCGUCCAAGAGGUCCCCCCCUCAAUUGGCACCUCACAUAAUGCAUAACUACUUAUUUCAAACACAAAACCAGGACAAAAUAUGAGCUGAGUUCCCGCAAAGGUCCAACAAGAGUGUUAGCAGGUCUUUGCAAAGUAAACCAAGCUUGAUCUUGAAGUUUUCAAAAGUAAAGCUACUGAUGAACUUGAG